rnacentral:rRNA from 1 species
UACGGGGGGGGCAAGCGUUGUUCGGAAUUACUGGGCGUAAAGGGCUCGUAGGCGGCCAACUAAGUCAGACGUGAAAUCCCUCGGCUUAACCUGGGAACUGCAUUCGAGACUGCAUUGCUAGAGUAUGGGAGAGGGAAGUGGAAUUUCCGGUGUAGCGGUGAAACGCGUAGAUAUCGGAAGGAACAUCAGUGGCGAAAGCGACUUCCUGGACCAAUACUGACGCUCAUGUGCGAAAGCGUGGGGAGCAAACAGG